ACAAUGGGCACCCAUGGCAUUCAUUCAUUCAUUGGACAAAUAUUCUGGAAGCAGAGCAUCCUUGGGAAGCCAGGCACUGAGCCAAGCACGAGAACAGAGGUGUGGAAAGCAGACCUGUCAUUGUGGAUCUUCAUUCAAGGCUAGGAUGUUGACAGCAGUAAGCAGAUACACAUGGAAUCUGCAGUAAAAGAAGCGGAGUGAUUGGUAUAAGAGACAAAAGGGAUGGAUGACUCCCAGGAAACUGUUCCAGACACAGCAAGACUGACCCACAUAUAAACACCCAGAGAUUGGGCCAAAAGCAUGUAUGCCAGUGUCUCAGAGGUGAGACAGGGGAGUGAAUAUGAGCACUAUCCCUAAUCAAGGAACGAUCUUUCAUUUACCUUUCAGAGACUUGUGUUUGUUCCUGAAACUGGCAAAUUGUUCUACAUUUUAAUCCAACAAAUAAAAUAUUAUCUUAGUAAAA